rnacentral:rRNA from 1 species
UACGUAGGGGGGCAAGCGUUGUCCGGAUUUAUUGGGCGUAAAGAGCGUGUAGGCGGCUAGAUAGGUCCGUUGUGAAAAACUCGAGGCUCAACCUCGAGACGUCGAUGGAAACCAUCUGGCUAGAGUCCGGAAGAGGAGAGUGGAAUUCCUGGUGUAGCGGUGAAAUGCGUAGAUAUCUGGAGGAACACCGGUGGCGAAGGCGGCAUCCUGGGACCGGCAUUGACGCUGAGGAGCGAAAGCCAGGGAGGGACAAACGGG